rnacentral:rRNA from 1 species
GCUGGCGGCAGGCCUAACACAUGCUAGUCGAACGGAGUUAUAUUGUAGCUUGCUAUGGUAUAACUUAGUGGCAGACGGGUGAGUAAUGUAUAGGAAUCUACCUANUAGUACGGAAUAAUUGUUGGAAACGGCAACUAAUACCGUAUACGCCCUACGGGGGAAAAAUUUAUUGCUAUUAGAUGAGCCUAUAUUAGAUUGGCUAGUUGGUGGAGUAAUAGCCUACCAAGGCAAUGAUCUAUAGCUGAUCUGAGAGGAUGAUCAGCCACACUGGAACUGAGAUACGGUCCAGACUCCUACGGGAGGCAGCAGUGGGGAAUAUUGGACAAUGGGCGAAAGCCUGAUCCAGCCAUGCCGCAUGAGUGAAGAAGGCCUUUGGGUUGUAAAGCUCUUUUAGUGAGGAAGAUAAUGACGGUACUCACAGAAGAAGUCCUGGCUAACUCCGUGCCAGCAGCCGCGGUAAUACGGAGAGGGCUAGCGUUAUUCGGAAUUAUUGGGCGUAAAGGGCGCGUAGGCGGAUUAGUAAGUUAAAAGUGAAAUCCCAAGGCUCAACCUUGGAAUUGCUUUUAAAACUGCUAAUCUAGAGAUUGAAAGAGGAUAGAGGAAUUCCUAGUGUAGAGGUGAAAUUCGUAAAUAUUAGGAGGAACACCAGUGGCGAAGGCGUCUAUCUGGUUCAAAUCUGACGCUGAGGCGCGAAGGCGUGGGGAGCAAACAGGAUUAGAUACCCUGGUAGUCCACGCUGUAAACGAUGAAUGUUAAAUAUGGGAAGUUUUACU